ensembl:Mt_tRNA
GAGGUACUAGUAAAACGAUUACAUUGCUUUGUCAAGGCAAAAUUGCGAGUUAAACUCCCGCGUACCUUA